GGUGGACGUCUGGAGAAACUGGCGCGGAAGGCCAGUGACCAGCAGAAGCACAGUGAUGCAGAGUUUUGCUGGGGCAGUUGGAAAUGAGCCCAGGACGCUGAGUGGCCUGACUCCAGGGGAAAACCUUCCCACUCCAAGUUGAGCUGGUUAACACAAGCCGCCUAUAUAGACUGCAAAACUAAAAGAACACCCUCUAACACACGUCCACUGGGGCUUCCGGAGCUGUAAGCGUUCACCUCUAGACACUGCCUGGGUUCGGAGCCCCACAGCCUGCCCGUCUCAUAUGCUCCCUUAGAGACUCUCCACCAUGGAAUCCACCACCUUCUGCACCCACAGCUGCUGUGUGACGACCCUUCACUGCCUGCCCGAAGAGUUGAUUUUUGACUGUCAUGGAGCGCCUGAUGCGUGGAUGCACCACGGUUUGUUUAUCUGCUCAUCUGUUGUGAGUAUCUGGGCUGUCUCCACCUUUCACCUAUUCUGAAUGAGGCUUCUAUGAAUAUUGAGGUACAAGGCUUUGUCAAGACAUGCAGUUCCUUUUCUCUUGGUGAAUACUUAAGAGUGGGAUGGCUGGACCAUACGUUAGGUGACUGUUUACUUUUAAAGAAACUGCCAUACAGUUUUCCAAAAUAGUUUUUACAUUUUUACACUCUUUUACAUUCCUAUCAGCAGGGUGUGAGUUUCAGUUUCUGCACAUUGUGGCCAACACUGGGUAUGAUCAUUCUGUGUAAUUUUAUUACCACUCCAAUAGGUAGGAAUGGUAUCUCAUUGUUUUAAUUUGAAUUGUCUCAAUUACUAUGAUGUUGAGUAUCUUUUCAUGUGCCUGUCAUCUGUGUAGCUUCUUUGCUCACAGAUGUAAUUUUUUCCUGCAUCUAUUGAAAUGAUCGUAUAGUUUUCUUUUUCAGUUUGUUAAUGUGGUUAAUUAAACUGGUUGAUAUUUGAAUAUUAAGCCACAUAUGAGAAAAAACAUAUUUAGUAGUGAUGUAUUAUUCUUUGAAUGUAUUGCUGGAUUCAGUUUGCUAAAAUUUUAAUUAGAAUAUUUGUGUCUAAGUUCAUGGGGGAUAUGGACGUGUAGUUUUCCUUUCUUUUCUUGUAAUGUCCUUGUCUGGUUUUGGUAUGAAAGUAAUGCGGGCUCUAUAGAAUGCAAUGGAAGUGCCACCUUCCCUCUGGCUCUGGCACAGAGCAGGUGCCUGUUUCAUGGGUGAUUUGAAGUAGGGAACAAUAAAUUCAUGU
rnacentral:lncRNA from 1 species